UAUGGAUAUAUGUUGGUGACUUCCAGCCCC
rnacentral:piRNA from 1 species